UUGAGAUUUCUCCUGAUUCUG
rnacentral:siRNA from 1 species